UACGUAGGGUGCGAGCGUUUAUCCGGAAUUAUUGGGCGUAAAGAGCUCGUAGGCGGUUUGUCGCGUCUGUCGUGAAAGUCCGGGGGCUUUAACCCCCGGAUCUGCGGUGGGUACGGGCAGACUAGAGUGCAGUAGGGGAGACUGGAAUUCCUGGUGUAGCGGUGGAAUGCGCAGAUAUCAGGAGGAACACCGAUGGCAAAGGCAGGUCUCUGGGCUGUAACUGACGCUGAGGAGCGAAAGCAUGGGGAGCGAACAGG
rnacentral:rRNA from 1 species